rnacentral:rRNA from 1 species
GACGAACGCUGGCGGCGUGCUUAACACAUGCAAGUCGAACGGAAAGGCCUGCUUUCCCUUGUGGUUUGCGGGUACUCGAGUGGCGAACGGGUGAGUAACUCGCGAGUGAUCUGCCCCCAACUUGGGUAUAAGACUGGGAAACUGGGCCUAAUUCCCGAUAGGACUGCAGGGUGGUGCCUGUGGUGGAAAACGAUCUUCUAGUGGUUGGGGAUGCGCUCGCGGCCUAUCAGCUUGUUGGUGUGGUAAUGGCCUACCAAGGCGGCGACGGGUAGCCGGCCUGAGAGGGUGGACGGCCACAUUGGGACUGAGAUACGGCCCAGACUCCUACGGGAGGCAGCAGUGGGGAAUAAUGCACAAUGGGCGGAAGCCUGAUGCAGCGACGCCGCGUGGGGGAUGACGGCCUUCGGGUUGUAAACUCCUUUCGACCGCGAGGAAGCCACCUGGUUGGAAGGGUGGUGACGGUAGUGGUAGAAGAAGCACCGGCUAACUACGUG